GACUUCCAGCUGGACGCUGCUGUGACCUACUGCAGAGCUGCCAGGCAGCUGGUUGAGAAAGAAAAAUAUGGGGAGAUUCGACAGCUGCUCAAAUGUGUCAGUGAGUCAGGCAUGGCAGCCAAAAGCGAUGGCGACACCAUCCUCCUCAACUGCCUGGAAGCCUUCAAGAGAAUUCCACCCCAGGUGUGCUACCUCCUGGGUCUCUCCAGUCCUCUGUCUGCUCCUGUAUCAUUCUGUCUGCACCCUCCUCCUCCCCCCCACCUCCUCCUCCUCUUCUUUUUCCUCUUCCUCCUCCCCCUCCU
rnacentral:lncRNA from 1 species